AGAGUUUGAUCCUGGCUCAGGACGAACGCUGGCGGCGUGCCUAACACAUGCAAGUCGAACGAAGUAUGUUUUUCGGAAUAUACUUAGUGGCGGACGGGUGAGUAACGCGUGAACAAUCUGCCCUAUACAGAGGAAUAGCCUCGGGAAACCGGGAUUAAAACCGCAUAAAACUAUAGUAUCGCAUGAUACAUUGGUCAAAUUGAAUAAGAGGUAUAGGAUGAGUUCGCGUCUGAUUAGCUAGUUGGUGGGGUAAAGGCCUACCAAGGCGACGAUCAGUAGCCGGCCUGAGAGGGUGAACGGCCACACUGGAACUGAGACACGGUCCAGACUCCUACGGGAGGCAGCAGUGGGGAAUAUUGCACAAUGGAGGAAACUCUGAUGCAGCGACGCCGCGUGAGUGAAGAAGGUCUUCGGAUCGUAAAACUCUGUCCUUGGUGAAGAUAAUGACCGCCGCCAAGGAGGAAACCCGGGAUAACUACGUGCCAACAGCCGCGGUAAUACGUAGGGGGCGAGCGUUGUCCGCAUAUUACUGGGCGUAAAGGGUGAGUAGGCGGUAAUAUGUGUCAGAUGUAAAAGGCUAAGGCUUAACCAUAGUUAGCAUUUGAAACUGGAUUACUUGAGUGCAGGAGAGAGUAAGUGGAAUUCCUAGUGUAGCGGUGAAAUGCGUAGAUAUUAGGAGGAACACCAGUGGCGAAGGCGACUUACUGGACUGUAACUGACGCUGAGUCACGAAAGCGUGGGUAGCAAACAGGAUUAGAUACCCUGGUAGUCCACGCCGUAAACGAUGAGUGCUAGGUGUUGGGUAGCGAUACUCAGUGCCGAAGUAAACACAAUAAGCACUCCGCCUGGGGAGUACGGUCGCAAGACUGAAACUCAAAGGAAUUGACGGGGACCCGCACAAGCAGCGGAGCAUGUGGUUUAAUUCGAAGCAACGCGAAGAACCUUACCAAGGCUUGACAUCCCCUUGACCAGUGCAGAGAUGCACUCUCUCCUUCGGGAGCAAGGGUGACAGGUGGUGCAUGGUUGUCGUCAGCUCGUGUCGUGAGAUGUUGGGUUAAGUCCCGCAACGAGCGCAACCCUUAUCCUUAGUUGCCAGCAGGUAAAGUUGGGCACUCUAAGGAGACUGCCGAUGAUAAAUCGGAGGAAGGUGGGGAUGACGUCAAAUCAUCAUGCCCCUUAUGUCUUGGGCUACACACGUGCUCCAAUGGUAGGUCCAAAGGGAAGCGAAGUAGAGAUAUGGAGCAAAUCCCAAUAAACCGAUCCCAGUUCGGAUUGUAGGCUGCAACUCGCCUACAUGAAGUCGGAGUUGCUAGUAAUCGCGAAUCAGAACGUCGCGGUGAAUGCGUUCCCGGGUCUUGUACACACCGGCCGUCACACCAU
rnacentral:rRNA from 1 species